rnacentral:tRNA from 1 species
CAAAUUAAAGCUUAAAAGAAAGCAUAUUAUUUACACUAAUAAAUAUAAUUGUGCAAUUCAAUUUAAUUUGA